rnacentral:rRNA from 1 species
CCAUUUAAAGAGUGCGUAAUAGCUCACUGGUCGAGUGACUCUGCGCCGAAAAUGUAACGGGGCUAAACACACCACCGAAGCUAUGGCUUGAAUCGACUUCACUGCUUCUUUGAGGUAGUGAAUACUGAGAUGAACAUUUUUGUCAGGCUUGAGAUGAAAUCAAGGAUGACCCAAUGCACUCAGGGGAUAAACACACUUCGAAGGCGGAGUGAAGUCGAUUCAGGGGUAGGGGAGCGUUGUAUGUAGGUUGAAGGUGUACCGUAAGGAGCGCUGGACAGCAUACAAGUGAGAAUGCCGGUAUGAGUAACGAAA